CCCAGAAUCAAGCAGGUGCCAGAGCGGGGAUGCGUGUCCUUACCAGCCAGGCUACACACCCACUCCUCAUCUAAUGCAGGUGCCAGAGCGGGGAUGCGUGUCCUUACCAGCCAGGCUACACUCCCACUCCUCAUCUAAUGCAGGCGCCCAGAGAGGGGAUGCGUGUCCUUACCAGCCAGGCUACACACCCACUCCUCAUCUAAUGCAGGUGCCAGAGCGGGGAUGCGUGUCCUUACCAGCCAGGCUACACUCCCACUCCUCAUCUAAUGCAGGCACCCAGAGAGGGCAUGCGUGUCCUUACCAGCUAGACUACACACCCACUCCUCAUCUAAUGCAGGUGCCAGAGCGGGGAUGCGUGUCCUUACCAGCCAGGCUACACUCCCACUCCUCAUCUAAUGCAGGCGCCCAGAGAUGGGACUCAUGUUCUUAACAGCCAGGCUACAUACCCCACUCCUCAUUUUUCUAUUUUUGAAACUCAGUAUAUCUCAGUUUUAUAAUACAACAAAACAGAAAUAGU